AAUAAGAUGCCUGAUUAAAGGAUUAUCUUGAUAGGAUAAAUAAAGUAAUUUCAAAUUUACUCUUAUUA
rnacentral:tRNA from 1 species